ACUGGGGCGGUCUCCUCCUAAAGAGUAACGGAGGAGCACGAAGGUUGGCUAAUCCUGGUCGGACAUCAGGAGGUUAGUGCAAUGGCAUAAGCCAGCUUGACUGCGAGCGUGACGGCGCGAGCAGGUGCGAAAGCAGGUCAUAGUGAUCCGGUGGUUCUGAAUGGAAGGGCCAUCGCUCAACGGAUAAAAGGUACUCCGGGGAUAACAGGCUGAUACCGCCCAAGAGUUCAUAUCGACGGCGGUGUUUGGCACCUCGAUGUCGGCUCAUCACAUCCUGGGGCUGAAGUAGGUCCCAAGGGUAUGGCUGUUCGCCAUUUAAAGUGGUACGCGAGCUGGGUUUAGAACGUCGUGAGACAGUUCGGUCCCUAUCUGCCGUGGGCGCUGGAGAAUUGAGGGGGGCUGCUCCUAGUACGAGAGGACCGGAGUGGACGCAUCACUGGUGUUCGGGUUGUCAUGCCAAUGGCACUGCCCGGUAGCUAAAUGCGGAAGAGAUAAGUGCUGAAAGCAUCUAAGCACGAAACUUGCCCCGAGAUGAGUUCUCCCUGACUCCUUGAGAGUCCUGAAGGAACGUUGAAGACGACGACGUUGAUAGGCCGGGUGUGUAAGCGCAGCGAUGCGUUGAGCUAACCGGUACUAAUGAACCGUGAGGCUUAACCUUACAACGCCGAAG
rnacentral:rRNA from 1 species